rnacentral:rRNA from 1 species
UACGGGGGGAGCAAGCGUUGUUCGGAUUUACUGGUCGUAAAGGGCGCGUAGGCGGUCAGCACAAGUCAGUUGUGAAAUCUCCGGGCUUAACUCAGAAAGGUCAACUGAUACUGUGCGACUAGAGUGCAGAAGGGGCAACUGGAAUUCUCGGUGUAGCGGUGAAAUGCGUAGAUAUCGAGAGGAACACCUGCGGCGAAGGCGGGUUGCUGGGCUGACACUGACGCUGAUGCGCGAAAGCCAGGGGAGCGAACGGG